rnacentral:rRNA from 1 species
CCUACGGGAGGCAGCAGUGGGGAAUAUUCCGCAAUGGGUUAACGCCUGACGGAGCGACGCCGCGUGGAUGAUGAAGGUCUUCGGAUUGUAAAGUCCUGUAGAGCGGGAAGAUGGUCCUAUGUAAAUAGGAUUGACAGUACUGCUAAAGUAAGCUACGGCAAACUCUGUGCCAGCAGCCGCGGUAAUACAGAGGUAGCAAGCGUUGUUCGGAAUUACUGGGCGUAAAGGGUUCGUAGGUGGCCAACUAAGUCAGACGUGAAAUCCCUCAGCUUAACUGGGGAACUGCGUCUGAUACUGGUUGGCUUGAGUGCAGGAGAGGAACGCGGAAUUCCAGGUGUAGCGGUGAAAUGCGUAGAUAUCUGGAGGAACACCGGUGGCGAAGGCGGCGUUCUGGACUGCAACUGACACUGAGGAACGAAAGCCAGGGGAGCAAACGGGAUUAGAUACCCCGGUAGUCCUGGCCCUAAACGAUGAAUGCUUGGUGUGGCGGGUAUCGAUCCCUGCCGUGCCGAAGUUAACGCGAUAAGCAUUCCGC